rnacentral:RNase_P_RNA from 1 species
AGUCAGCCAGGUGGUCGCGGCGGGGCGUAUGCCACGUCGAGGAACGUCCGGACUCCACAGGGCGAGGUGGUUGCUAACGGCAACCCGGGGCGACCCGCGGGACAGUGCCACAGAAAACAGACCGCCCACACCAGUGGGUAAGGGUGAAACGGUGGUGUAAGAGACCACCAGCGUCUUCGGUGACGGAGACGGCUUGGUAAACCCCACCCGGAGCAAGGUCAAGAGGAGCCUUCGGGCUCUGCGCGAACGUUGGAGGGCUGCCCGCCCGAGUUCGCGGGUAGACCGCUUGAGCGUGUCGGCGACGGCACGCCCAGAUGGAUGGCCACCGGCCGAGGCGGUGCGGUAACGCGCUUCGGUCACAGGAUCCGGCGUAUCGGCUGACUCGU